GCCAAAUCUUUCAGAUAGAAUAUCAGAAUUGCAACAUGCAUAUCUUCUAGAUAGGAUCACAUUAUCAUUUCUUUGACUUUUUUAGGUCUCAUCUUUUGAGGCUAUAAGAUAGGGUGUGGCCUCUUCUGAUGCGUCAAUUUCAUGCUUGCUUACUUGCUUUUGGGACUGUUUAUUCUUGGAGUCAUGGGAGUGGUCAAGAUGACAGGACUGUUAUGCCUGUUCUUGCUCAUGCCACUUUUAGUUCCUGGUUCGGAAGCAAAGAUGUGCACUCGAGAUAGCCGGACCUAUACGUCUGUACCAUGCAAAGCAUGAUCCUUGUGUUGAUGCAUGCCACAAGGAGGGCUUUAUCGAAGGGUUUUGUUACCUAUUCUUUGGAGCUUGUACAUGCCAAUGGGAGUGUUGAAUAAGAAACAUGUUGCAACUAUCAUAGGGUGCGUGUAACAAAUAAUAAUGUUGAGUAGUAUGAUGACUUGACAAUGGGCAAUGCAAGAUGUUGAGAAUCUACCAAAUAUUCCUUAAUUCUAUAUCUACUAAUAAAGGAGGGUAUGUUUCUCUAAA